AGCAGUGUUGCUCAGUGGAAAGAGCCUGGGCUUUGGAGUUAGAGGUCAUGGGUUCAACUCCCGGCUCUGCCA
rnacentral:tRNA from 1 species